UCCUCAAUAGCUCAGUCGGUAGAGCGUUCGGCUGUUAACCGAAAUGUCGUAGGUUCAAGUCCUACUUGAGGAGCCA
rnacentral:tRNA from 1 species